ACACAGACACUCACCAUGGAGUCUGGGCUGCGCUGGGUUUUCCUUGUUGCUCUGUUACAAGGUGUCCAGUGUGAGGUGAAGCUGGUGGAGUCUGGGGGAGGCUUGGUCCGGCCUGGGGGGUCCCUGAGACUCUCCUGUGCAGCCUCCGGAUUCACCUUCAGCAGCUAUGAUAUGAGCUGGUUCCGCCAGGCUCCAGGGAAGGGGCUAGAGUGGGUCUCAUACAUUAAUGGUAACGGUGGUAGCACAAGCUACGCAGACGCCGUGAAGGGCCGAUUCACCAUCUCCAGAGACAACGCCAAGAACACGCUGUCUCUGCAAAUGAACAGUCUGAGAGCCGAGGACACGGCCCUGUACUACUGUGCCAGUGACACAGUGAGGGGACAUCAGUGUGAGCCCAAAUACAAACCUCCUGCGGGGCAGCGCCGGGCCGCCAGGGGGCGCCCAAGACACGGGAGCAGAGUCAGCCCAGGGCAGGUGCAGGUGGAGGGUGAGGGCUGGUUUCCUCUCGGGGUCGUGGCUUCCUCUCCAUAAAGCGGUUUCCUCUGGGGA